UACGUAGGGGGCAAGCGUUGUCCGGAAUCAUUGGGCGUAAAGCGCGCGUAGGCGGCCCGGUAAGUCCGCUGUGAAAGUCCAGGGCUCAACCCUGGAAAGCCGGUGGAUACUGCCGGGCUAGAGUCCGGAAGAGGCGAGUGGAAUUCCUGGUGUAGCGGUGGAAUGCGCAGAUAUCAGGAGGAACACCAAUAGCGAAGGCAGCUCGCUGGGACGGUACUGACGCUGAGGCGCGAAAGCCAGGGGAGCAAACGGG
rnacentral:rRNA from 1 species